GUCCCCAUCGUCCAGCGGUUAGGAUACGGCCCUUUCAAGGCUGAGACACGGGUUCGAUUCCCGUUGGGGGCACCA
rnacentral:tRNA from 1 species